rfam:Brachypodium distachyon strain Bd21 chromosome 2, whole genome shotgun sequence.
CUAAUACCCCCUCCGUCUAACAAAAGAUGUCUCAAGCUUGUCAAAAUUUGGAUGUAUCUAGACAUAACUUAGUGUAUAGAUGCAUUUAAAUUUGGUCAAACUUGAGACAUCCUUUGUUGGAUGGAGGGAGUAAUUG